AUUCUAUGUUCUUUUCCCUUCAGGUAUUUGCUCUAUCAGCCUUACUAAUGGACUUCCCAAAGCAGACGUAACAACCACGCCAAAGACAAGGAAAGGAGACACCCCUGUGCCCAGUAACCUUCUCCUGACGCUGUGAGCCCGAGCCCCUUGGGGACCUCCUUCGCUGUCUCUCCUUCAUACCCACCGAUCCAGCAUAUGCUCUUGUCCCCUCAAUCUGCAAGAUUGUGCUCAUCUUCUUUCAACAAACCCUCUGGUGGCCUCCAGGUCCUGAUCUUGGCCCUCCUGAUAGUGUCUGCACUUGCCCCAGAUCAUCUUGUGUUCAUCAUGUCUUCCAUCCCAGAGACUCAACACUGUAACCCUACUACACACCUACGUUGACCACAUAUACUACAAGCCAGCCCCACUUGAAUUCUCCCAAUUCAACAUGUUCAAAGUGGUCUCACCCUCGCCCUUAUACAUCUGCCAUCUGCUCUGCCUCUUGUACUUUUCUGCGUUAGUGAGGGCCGUCAUCAUCCUCCCUGGGCACCCAAACCAGAAGAAGAAGCCUCAUUGCUCAAUACCUGCUGGAAUUGUCCUGCCACAACAUCUUAGGGAGUCUCCCUGGCCUCCAUCAUCUUCCUUCCUAUUCAUCUGGUUGCUCUAUCCCACUGUCUCCAGUUAUUUUGUUUCUUGUCAUUUCUAAUGAACUCUUAUGCCUGAUACUCCUCCCCGUGGAACAAAGCCAAGCGUUCAAGAAAUGUAAUUUACUUCAGCCUUUAUAACUAAACAAUUUCAAUCAGUGUCAAUUGCAGGUAGCCUCAGUUAUUUCAGCCUCGCCUGAAAUAACUGCCCCUGCCUCCCCUCUCCCAACUUCCCAUGGGAAAAUAAAGACGUGCAGAAGACAGUGUGUACUCUGGGGAGCAUUGGGAGUAUGUGAUCUCUCCCUAUGCCAGACAGGAUGUGGAAAAAUGCUAUCCUUGAUGCUAUCCUACCCGUCUACACAUGCAGCCAUCUCUACUUCUCCCACUCCACACAUGUUAAAUAGAGGGAAAAUCUACGUGGCUUAUCCCCUCUCUGGGCUCUAUCCUGAAAGCAAGCCAUAGUGUGUUGUGCUCCAAGGCCGCUCCUGUCUCUCCAGGGGUACAGUCAUGUAUCCAUCCCACCUUGAGGACUUAGCUUGGGACAGGACGGGGUGGAAAUUGUCAUAUCUGAGAGUCAGAGAACACAGCAUGUGUGAUGUCCUUCUAGACACACCCAACAUCCAGUAGUCCCCUUCCUACACUUUUUCUCCCCUAGCCCAAAUAUUCUUAACUAAAUCUGUGCCAAAAGACUAUUUUGGUUGCCAUUCAUUGAUCUAAAUCUAAUGUUUUAAAUAAACUUGAUGUCCUGGGAUAUUCUGGGCUUAAACUUUUGAGACUCAAGAGCCUUCAGAGUUUAAAAAGCCUUAUUUCAGCUGUAUCAUUCAUCCCCUGAGACAACGGACACCACUCACAAUGAAGGAAAAGCAGUAUGUCAAAGGAAGGAGGGAAGCAAGGGAAAAAAACCCCACUAACAUUUCCUGGCACAGGAUUUCAUUCCUGGGUGUUAGGUUCUGCAUCCCUAGGACCUCUAGCUCUUUGCUCAGGGACCAGGUCUGUUAUCUCAAGUUCCCCUUGACUGGGAAAGUUCCAGGAAGGGUACCCCUAACUCUGCCUCUCCUUCACUCAGUCUCUUCCUCCUUCACCUCAUUUCUCAAAUUGCCUUCUUACCUUCAUUCCAGUGGUUAGAUUCAUUCAUACCUUCAUUCCAGUCUUAGAUUAGCUAAUUCACCAAGGAAGAUUCCUAACUUCUUCCAUUUUGCCCCCAACUUCCUAUCCUGCAUGAUGACCAAACUGGAAUUUCCAACCACAAAUCUCAUUAAGACCCUUUCUUGCCUGAACCCACCAGUUGUCUCAUCACCUUCAGGACAGUUUGGGGGAACUCCUCAGGGCAACACAGAAGGCCAGAUAGACAGUGGCCCAAUGUGGACCUCGCCUCCAGCGCACUUUACCUGAGGCAAAUGGCUGUUCUCAGCAGGGUCUCUAACUGUGUCCUCUCUACAUUUCUUACAUUUCAUUCCUCUUCUUGAUAAGUGUGAUCCCCUCCCCACCACCACCCGCCUUAACACCUCACCUCCCCCACUUCCUUCAGAACACAGACGGGAAGUCACUAAUAGCAAUCAAAUGAUGUUUUUGAUAAGCAACCUUCCAGAGGAAAUUUGUUUUAGUCUAUCAAAAAGUGGCAGAAUAAUCAUUGUUUCUUUGGAUUUUGUUUCAUUCCCAGUUCUUCUCCCUUUACUUAGCUUAAAGAUGGCCACAUUUCUUAUGGCUUUCUAGAAGGGAUGACACCCCCUAUGUUUGGCUUUUAAGCCAUGCAUACUCAGGUCCUGAAGAGACUCUAAGCGGAUCCCUGAUUUGAGGAAAGGGAGCAACACAGCGAGCAUGAUGGUGAGCCCUUAGUGCUCUACCCUCGGAUAGGUUCGGAAACUCUAAAAUCAGGACUGUGCCUUCCCUUGUGAACCCGGGGGGUCAAGCAUCAGGCCCUAAGAUUCCU